rnacentral:tRNA from 1 species
GGGCAUGUGGCGGAAUUGGCAGACGCGCCGGACUUAGAAUCCGGUGGGGAAACCCGUGGAGGUUCGAGUCCUCUCUUGCCCA